rnacentral:tRNA from 1 species
AAAGGAAAAGUUAAAAUUAACAUAAGAAUGUCAAUCUUAAAAUCUUCCUUUA